rnacentral:rRNA from 1 species
CCAGACUCCUACGGGAGGCAGCAGUGAGGAAUAUUGGUCAAUGGGCGGGAGCCUGAACCAGCCAAGUCGCGUGAGGGAUGACGGUCCUACGGAUUGUAAACCUCUUUUGCCGGGGAGCAAGCGUGCGUUCGUGAACGCGCGUCGAGAGUACCCGGAGAAAAAGCAUCGGCUAACUCCGUGCCAGCAGCCGCGGUAAUACGGAGGAUGCGAGCGUUAUCCGGAUUUAUUGGGUUUAAAGGGUGCGUAGGCUGUGAGGUAAGUCAGCGGUGAAAUGCCCCCGCUCAACGGGGUGAAGUGCCAUUGAUACUGCCUUGCUGGAAUGCGGAUGCCGUGGGAGGAAUGUGUGGUGUAGCGGUGAAAUGCAUAGAUAUCACACAGAACACCGAUUGCGAAGGCAUCUCACGAAUCCGCGAUUGACGCUGAUGCACGAAAGCGUGGGUAUCAAACAGGAUUAGAUACCCCCGUA